UACAGAGGUCUCAAGCGUUGUUCGGAUUCAUUGGGCGUAAAGGGUGCGUAGGCGGCGCGGUAAGUCGGGUGGGAAAUCUCGGGGCUUAACUCCGAAACUGCAUUCGAUACUACCGUGCUUGAGGACUGGAGAGGAGACUGGAAUUUACGGUGUAGCGGUGAAAUGCGUAGAUAUCGUAAGGAAGACCAGUGGCGAAGGCGGGUCUCUGGACAGUUCCUGACGCUGAGGCACGAAGGUCAGGGGAGCAAACGGG
rnacentral:rRNA from 1 species